GCUAUAAAGGGUUAACAACAGAAUAUACACAAUAUUAUAGUGAUAAAAUUUCAUUAUUGUCAACGUAUUUUCCAAAUUAAAUAAAUAUUUCAUAUUCAAAUGACUACUGUAUGAAUACUUUUGAUACUGACUGUAUAUAAUACACUAGUAAAAUACAAUUUGUCUGAAAAGUUCAUUCAUUUUUGGGAGAUAAUUACAAUAUGUUUGGAGGGAUCAAGCGUAAUGAAAAAGGAAAUGAUGUAUUUGCCAAAUCAAAAAUUGUUGAAUAAUGAUUCUUUAAUUGGUAUAAGUUGCCUAGCACACAUUCUAAAUAACUAUACGAAUAAUGCAACAGCGACAUUCGAUGUUGACAUUGAGAGUACUAUUUUUAAAAUAUAUCAAUAUUUUCAUAUUUAUGCUGUGUACCAAGGAACUCAAACAGUACUGUGAUUUUGUUGAUCUUAAAUACAAGCAGUUGAUUUCUCACAGCAAAACAAGAUGGUUAUUCUUAUUCCCUGGCAUUGAAAGAUUAAUAAACAUGUUUGAAGCCCUGACAUCUUACUUUUUGUACAGCAGAAGCCUCCUCCUGUAAUUAAAACAUUUUUCAAAAAUAAUUUCAGUAAGAUCUAUCUGUCAAAUCCAUUCACUUGCUAAUGUAUUCCAAUAUCAUAAUGUAUUGAAAAGGAAGACAGUUCAGCAGUAGAGGUUCAAAAAAACUUUAUUGUUAAGUAGGAUGUUUAAUGAAUGAUGUAUGAAUCAAAAUUUUAUGGCCCUGAAAGUUAAGGUACCAUUAGAAGAAAGUACAAUGAAGGAUUUGCUCAAGAGUGUGUCAACUUCUGUGCUGAAAUGAAGAAUCUUUAUAGUUUUUGUAUAGAAUAUUUAGAUAAAUGGCUGAAGCCUAUGAAAGAUUUUUCUUGUUUCUUUUUGAUGUCCCUCAAUAAAGUACUAAAUUGGAAUGAUGCUGAUGCUGAAGGAUUAAUAUCCUUUACUUUUUAGGUAAUGCAUACCUAAAAAGUAAAGGACUAUUGAGGAUGAUGUGGGUUUUGACCAGUUUUGCAUUUUAAAAAAAUUUACUGAAGAUUCCAUAAAUGAUGUGAUUUUCAGAAUUUGAUGAUGCACAAGAAAUGGGCAAAAUAUUUUUAAAGUUCUAAAAUUGUUGGUUGUCAUUCAAAAUUGCUGAAAAUUCAGAAUUUUUCUUUGCUGUUUCACACUGUGCAAAUUUGGAACAAAUUUUUUUAUUGCCACAAGCCCAAUGGAAAAAAGAAAGGAACAAGUUGAGCACUGAUUUUUUUCGAAGGAAUUUUAUUUGUGCAGUAUAAUUUGAAAGAAAUAUUGUGCACAGCUUUCAGGAAUAUCUGAUUAGUAAAAAAUCACUUUUGAAACAGAUUAAAUCUACAUAGAAGUAUAAAUGGCUGCAAACUGGUACAAGCUAAAAAAAAAAUAUAUCUAGG
rnacentral:lncRNA from 1 species